rnacentral:lncRNA from 1 species
GAGCUUUUGUUCACACUUUAAAUAGCAGUCCCAGAAUGAUUUCACUACAGACUCUCUGGAAAGCCUGGGAGCUGAAUUCCGGAAGAUCCCCACAUCGAUGAAAGCAAAGCGAAGCCACCAAGCCGUCAUCAUGUCCACGUCGCUACGAGUCAGCCCAUCCAUCCAUGGCUACCACUUCGACACAGCCUCUCGUAAGAAAGCCGUGGGCAACAUCUUUGAAAACACAGACCAAGAAUCACUAGAAAGGCUCUUCAGAAACUCUGGAGACAAGAAAGCAGAGGAGAGAGCCAAGAUCAUUUUUGCCAUAGAUCAAGAUGUGGAGGAGAAAACGCGUGCCCUGAUGGCCUUGAAGAAGAGGACAAAAGACAAGCUUUUCCAGUUUCUGAAACUGCGGAAAUAUUCCAUCAAAGUUCACUGAAGAGAAGAGGAUGGAUAAGGACGUUAUCCAAGAAUGGACAUUCAAAGACCAAGUGAGUUUGUGAGAUUCUAACAGAUGCAGCAUUUUGCUGCUACCUUACAAGCUUCUCUUCUGUCAGGACUCCAGAGGCUGGAAAGGGACCGGGACUGGAAAGGGACCAGGACUGAACAGACUGGUUACAAAGACUCCAAACAAUUUCAUGCCCUGUGCUGUUACAGAGGAGAACAAAAUGCUUUCAGCAAGGAUUUGAAAACUCUUCCGUCCCUGCAGGAAAGGAUUGAUGCUGAUAGAAGAGCCUGGACAGAUGUAAUGAGAACUAAAGAAAACAGAUGGCUGGAGAUGACAUUUAUCCAGGGUCACUUUGUCAGGCCCUAGGACUUAAAUCGAAGUUGAACUUUUUUUUUUUUUUUUAACCAAAUAGAUAGGGGAAGGGAGGAGGGAGAGGGAGGACAGGGAGAGAAAAUACCAUGCAUAAAUUGUUUACUGAAUUUUUAUAUCUGAGUGUUCAAAAUAUUUCCAAGCCUGAGUAUUGUCUAUUGGUAUAGAUUUUUAGAAAUCAAUAAUUGAUUAUUUAUUUGCACUUAUUACAAUGCCUGAAAAAGUGCACCACAUGGAUGUUAAGUAGAAAUUCAAGAAAGUAAGAUGUCUUCAGCAACUCAGUAAAACCUUACGCCACCUUUUGGUUUGUAAAAGGUUUUUUAUACAUUUCAAACAGGUUGCACAAAAGUUAAAAUAAUGGGGUCUUUUAUAAAUCCAAAGUACUGUGAAAACAUUUUACAUAUUUUUUAAAUCUUCUGACUAAUGCUAAAACGUAAUCUAAUUAAAUUUCAUACAGUUACUGCAGUAAGCAUUAGGAAGUGAAUAUGAUAUACAAAAUAGUUUAUAAAGACUCUAUAGUUUCUAUAAUUUAUUUUACUGGCAAAUGUCAUGCAACAAUAAUAAAUUAUUGUAAACUUUGUGGCUUUUGGUCUGUGAUGCUUGGUCUCAAAGGAAAAAAUAAGAUGGUAAAUGUUGAUAUUUACAAACUUUUCUAAAGAUGUGUCUCUAACAAUAAAAGUUAAUUUUAGAGUAGUUUUAUAUUAAUUACCAAACUUUUUCAAAACAAAUUCUUACGUCAAAUAUCUGGGAAGUUUCUCUGUCCCAAUCUUAAAAUAUAAAAUAUAGAUAUAGAAGUUCAUAGAUUGACUCCUUGGCAUUUCUAUUUAUGUAUCCAUUAAGGAUGAGUUUUAAAAGGCUUUCUCUUCAUACUUUUGAAAAAUUUCUUCUAUGAUUACAGUAGCUAUGUACAUGUGUACAUCUAUUUUUCCCAAGCAAUAUGUUUUGGGUUUAGAGUCUGAGUGAUGACCAAGAUUCUGUGUGUUACUACUGUUUGUUUAAUAGGAACAAAUAUAGAAAUAAUAUUAUCUCUUUGCUUAUUUCCCGUUAAAACUAUAAUAAAAUGUUUCUAGGACAGCAUACGUAAAUGCCUGCUAUGCUUUCCUAACAAAAAUGAAAUUUUUCCACAAGUUAAGCAUUUUAGAAACACCUAAAGUGUUUUUCAAAAUGCUGAUCACAGUAAGUCAAAACAAGUGAAUUACCUCACAUCUGCUGGGAGGGUUACAAGUCAGGAUUAUAAAUACUAUGUUUUUAAAAAGAAAAUCAAAUGGCAAAUUCUAUUUUCAAAUAGUAAUUUACUCGUUCACUGAAGAUAAUGCAAAGCACUUUAUUAAAAAUGAGUUCUUUCCAAGAGAGCAUUCCGGAAGAUAACACAUUAAUAUGCAAAAUUGUGUGUGUGUGUGUGUGUGUGUGUGUGUGUGCAUUUUUCUAAGAGGAAUAUUGAUAAUUUUCACGAGAUUUGUAGAGACAGCUAUAACUCCAAAAAAAGUUAUAAACAGAAAAAGGGUUUGCGGAGUAGCAGGAGAAUUGGAGGAAGCCUAACCCAGGCUGGGGACAUACUAGACAAUUCCAUAGAAAUUUUCCCUGUUUCAUUUUCACUGUGCUGUGUUACGGGAGUAUGAAAGAGAAGGCUGUAAAGAGGCCCUCGGCUCCAUAACCCUACUUUCCCAUCCUUAUGAACUGAGCUUUCUUAAUGUUCACUGCGUGUGCUAGAAAUAACUUCCUUCUCCUGAUAGGGCCCAUCAGUGAAAAUCUUUAUUUUCUAUUCAAAAAUUGAAGCACACUUGGAUGCUAAAUGUAGUUCAAGAGUUAAGUGUAUUAUACAUACUCAUAACUAUUUACUCUGCCACUGUUGUUUUCAAUAGGGUACAAAGUAUAUCUUCUCCUCUUUUCACAUUAGCAUGUAUUAAGUUGUUUUCUUGCAGUAUAUUACGUUAUUUUCUGAUUUCAAGGCUGUAACAUGGGAGACAAAUUAAAAAGCAAUUUGGAUGCACUCCACAAUGGUAUGGAGAAUAAUAACACAUCCAGUAGAUUAUCACAAACGUGUCAUCUUUACCAUUCAUGGAGAACAAAAGUUGGAAUCAAUUUAAUUGCAUAAGGAUGAUUUUUAGCUUCAUAAUACAUUCAUUACUUAAUGUGAGGUGAAAAUAAACAUCAGUAGAACAGGGAGGAUUGGUUCAGUUUAGAAAUUUAUGGCACAAGGAUAAACAAAUAUAUCUCAGGACAUCUCACUGUAAUUGAAGAAAUGAAAGCAGCAAAGAUUAAAUAGCUCGUUAAUCAUAUUUGUAUCAUGAGAUCACAGUAAUAACUUUCACUGAGUGUUUACUCUCAGUCAGACAAUUUUCUAAGUGUUUUUUUUGUGUAUUACUAAUACAUCACUUAAUUAGUGCCAUGACAUAAAUGCUAAGGGCAUGUGCGUGUGUAAUAUAGUAAUAAAACUGAAGCACAGAGAGGUGCAGUAACUUGGUCAAUGACACGCAGCUAAUAACUCCAGAAAUCAAAUCCAGGAACUCUGGCCUUCAUUCCCAGCCACUAGACUAUACCGGUUCUUUAGGAGAAACCAAGCUUCUCUUUUUCUUUUAAGUAACGAUACUUCUAUGUUAGUCAGUCAUGAAGACAGGAAGGCCUGGCCUCUGAAGCAUCACUUUUAUCUGACCUGGGUAUGUUUGUCUAUUUAUUUGUUACACGUGCUACAUGGGGAAAGCGUCUUAGUUUAAUAGUUUUAAUUGUAUCAAGGAUGUGCUUAGAUACAGGCUUUCAAGCCUGCAGUUAAAAUAACACUUGUAUUAGCAUCCUGGAACACAAGGCCACACGUAAGCUUUGGGUCUUAGUUUGUUCAUUGAAGGAACUCAGAAACCAUGGAUUCAAUAUUUUAUUCACUCAGUUCAUCCCCUGGCCCACAGCAAAGGGGGAUUUGUCCAGCAGAUAGGAUUUUCUGAGAAAGGGGUCCAGGGUGUAUGGUUGACUAUAUUUUUCUCAUCAUCGGAGGGUAACCAGGGUACGCAAUUGACAUUCCCUUAGAAAGUUUCAUCUGCUAGUAAACUAAUAAUGAAGCCAUGGCCUGAGGAUUGCAUGUUUUUUCAGAGUAUUUAGUUGACCUUUCUAUACUCCACAUGAGGGUUUCUCAGAACAGCCUGUAUGGAUUCCCAGCAGAACAGAUGUGGGGGGCAGGGCAGCAUUUGUAUCUUACCCAUUCAACAAAAAUACAGUAAGCACCCAUAUGUGGGAGCCUCCAUGGCCAGAAUGGAUCCUGGUUCUCCAUAUCAGAAGAACAGGAAAGGUUUUUAAAAGGGGUAUCACACGGUGAGAAGUGUGAUGGGAGUUUAGACAGAAUGCUCUGGAAGCAUAAGGCAGGAAUUAUGUGUGUGUGUGUGUGCGCGCACGCGCGUGUGUUUGUGUUUGUGUGUGCGUGUGUGCUUGUGCAUGUGUGUGUGUGCUUGUGUGUGUCUGUGUCUGUAUGUCUGCGUGUUUGGGGAGUAGCAGGAGAAUUGGAGGAGGCCUAAUCCAGUUGGAGGAGACCCUAGCAAAUUCCACAGAGAAUUUUCCCUGUUUUAAAGUAGGAGUUGGGGGAGUAGAGAGAAAAAUUUUUAUUUCAGCCUAUGCCUAUAGUAUUUGCCAAGACAAGGAGGCAGGAAAGAGUAUUUGAAAAUCUCCAGGCAGUUCAGUCUGACUAGGGGCCUAAGCAUUCCCAGCUAAUAAUUAGGAAGGCAGCCAGGGCCGGGUGCCGUGGCUCACUCCUGUAAGCCCAACACUUUGGGAGGCCGAGGCAGGCAGAUCACUUGCGGUCAAGAGUUCCAGACCAGCCUGGCCAACAUGGUGAAACGCUGUCUCUACUAAAAAAUACAAAAAUUAGCAGGGUGUGGUGGUGCGUGCCCGUAAUCCCAGCUACUUGAGAGGCUGAGGCGUGAGAAUCACUUGAACCUGGGAGGCGGAGGUUGCAGUGAGCCCAGAUCACCCCACUGUACUCCAGCUUGGGCUGCAGAGCGAGACUCCAUCUUGAAAAAAAGAAAGGCAGCUGGGUUUUAAAUGACAAGUGUUUUAUCAUCUGAAAGAUUCCAGAGAAGCCCAGUGAUCCUGAAGGGUACUGGCAGCCACAGUAUCUGAAAUGCUGUGUCUGAGGACCAUCUUCCCCUGACAUUGCAGAAUACCUAGGACAGAGCAACUGUUUCCAGGCCUACUCUUAUCACAGUCUCCUUGGGGACUUUUAAAAAUCCAGGCCUUUGGACUUAAUGAUUCAGAGUUUCUGGGGCUGGACACCUGCUAGCUCCGUGCUUCAGUCACUCCCC